GCUGAUCUUUGCGAUAGUGCAGAACGUAUCUUCUCAAGUGAACCAACUGUUUUGCAGCUUAGAGCUCCUAUCAAAAUAUUUGGUGAUCUCCAUGGACAGUUUGGGGAUGUUAUGCGCCUUUUUGAUGAAUACGGUUCACCAUCCACAGCUGGAGAGACAUUGCUCAUUUGAUGAGACAUUGCUCAUUCUAGGGGACUAUGUUGAUAGGGGCCAGCACAGUCUAGAAACAAUCUCCCUUCUGCUUGCAUUAAAGGUCGGAUCCGACCGAAAACGACAGUGUUGAAGGUUUAAGACCCAACGCUAGAGGCCCUGGAUUAGUUACUUGUGGGGUGAGCAAUCUUCCUUUGCUCCUAAUAACUUACCAUAUAGAGAAGUGUUUAUUGCUUAUGCAGCCUGACCGUGUAAUGAAGUUCUGUUGCCUUUUCUAUUAUUCUGUAUCAUAUAGACAUUGGGGCUUUUUGUCUUACUUUUAUUUUUGUUAUCAGCUCA